rnacentral:rRNA from 1 species
AGUGAACGCUGGCGGUAGGCCUAACACAUGCAAGUCGAACGGCAGCACAGUAAGAGCUUGCUCUUACGGGUGGCGAGUGGCGGACGGGUGAGGCAUACAUCGGAAUCUACUUUUUCGUGGGGGAUAACGUAGGGAAACUUACGCUAAUACCGCAUACGACCUACGGGUGAAAGCAGGGGAUCUUCGGACCUUGCGCGAUUGAAUGAGCCGAUGUCGGAUUAGCUAGUUGGCGGGGUAAAGGACCACCAAGGCGACGAUCCGUAGCUGGUCUGAGAGGAUGAUCAGCCACACUGGAACUGAGACACGGUCCAGACUCCUACGGGAGGCAGCAGUGGGGAAUAUUGGACAAUGGGCGAAAGCCUGAUCCAGCCAUACCGCGUGGGUGAAGAAGGCCUUCGGGUUGUAAAGCCCUUUUGUUGGGAAAGAAAAGCAGCAGGUUAAUACCCCGCUGUUCUGACGGUACCCAAAGAAUAAGCACCGGCUAACUUCGUG